rnacentral:tRNA from 1 species
GGAAGGGUGGCCGAGUGGUUGAAGGCGACAGUCUUGAAAACUGUUAGGCCCCCAAAGGGUCUCGUGGGUUCGAAUCCCACCCCUUCCGCCA